rnacentral:rRNA from 1 species
UACGUAGGGGGCGAGCGUUAUCCGGAAUCAUUGGGCGUAAAGCGCACGCAGGCGGUUCGUUACGUUCAUCCUGACACUUCUCGGCUCAACCGAGAACGGGGAUGAAAACUGGCGAACUUGAGAGCGAGAGAGGGACAUGGAACUCCGAGGUGGAGCAGUGAAAUGCGUAGAGAUCUGGAAGAACACCAAAGGCGAAGGCAGUGUCCUGGCUCGUUUCUGACGCUCAGGUGCGAAAGCCAGGGGAGCGAACGGG